rnacentral:rRNA from 1 species
GAUGAACGCUAGCGGCAGGCUUAACACAUGCAAGUCGAGGGGUAUAGUUCUUCGGAAUUAGAGACCGGCGCACGGGUGCGUAACGCGUAUGCAAUCUACCUUUCACAGAGGGAUAGCCCAGAGAAAUUUGGAUUAAUACCUCAUAGUAUAGCAGUUUCGCAUGAAACCACUAUUAAAGUCACAACGGUGAAAGAUGAGCAUGCGUCCCAUUAGCUAGUUGGUAAGGUAACGGCUUACCAAGGCAACGAUGGGUAGGGGUCCUGAGAGGGAGAUCCCCCACACUGGUACUGAGACACGGACCAGACUCCUACGGGAGGCAGCAGUGAGGAAUAUUGGACAAUGGGCGCAAGCCUGAUCCAGCCAUGCCGCGUGCAGGAAGGCGGUCCUAUGGAUUGUAAACUGCUUUUAUACAGGAGAAACACUCCUCGUGAGGGAACUUAGACGGUACUGUAUGAAUAAGCAUCGGCUAAC